CAUCAUUAGUCACCAGAUUUAUUAGCAAAGAGUAAAAUUUACAAAAAGGUGGAUAUAUAGAUUCACAAGAGCUUUGACAAGCACAUCCAAUAAAAGGUAGGAACUUGCCAAAGAAAGAGGGAAAAAAAUAAAAUGGAAACUAAACUUCAGGACUCAGAAGAGAAUUUCAAAAAGGAACAGCAGCAGAAAGGGAUAUUCUCAACCACCAACAGCAUAUGGGAGCUUCAAGCAAAAACUUCAGAGUGAUGUAAGUCUUCUUCAUCAUCGUCCCAACAACAAAACAAAGCUAAACAUGAUAUAGAAGAGAUAGC
rnacentral:lncRNA from 1 species